rnacentral:lncRNA from 1 species
GUCUGUGCGUCCAUCUAUCCCACUACAGGUUAAAGUUUUUUGCCAAGGUAGUUUUGAUGAAGUUAAAGUUCAAUCAACUUGAAACUUAGUACACAUGUUCCAUAUGAUAUGAUCUUUCCAUUUUUUUAUGCCAAAUCAUAGAGUUUUGACCCCAAUUCCAUAGUCCACUGAACAUAGAAAAUAAUAGUGCGAUUGGGGCAUCCUUGUACUAUAUGGAUACAUUCUUGUUUAAAUUUCUGAAGGUUCUCCAAUUGCAGAAUGGAUUUUAACUAUUCUAAUUUGAUUACUGGUAUUGAAGGAUAGGAUGAUUCAGCUGACUGAACAUAGAUUUAAAAUUAAGACUUUAACAGUGCGCAUAUUUUAACGCAUGUUUCUUACAACGAGUGCCUUGGACAUGGUCGCUUUCAGGGGUCUUCUAAAAAAGACUUUGACGACAUUGGAACUCGGGUGUGUAUGAGAGCUCCAUUCAAGAUGUAAACAAGUGAUGCAAAACGUUCUACAAAAGGGAAAAUACCUACGGUCAGAAAUUCAGUGCUUUCUUAAUUUUUUUAAAGGACAGAAAUAUACAUAUUUGAGCAUAUCAUUAAAAAAAAUUGAUAUAUAAAUACUGACAUGUACAACCUCGACGGUAUCUGGUGCAUUCGCUCCCAAAAACACAUUCUCAUCAUACACGUUUGCCCCUUGAGUCCGUUCGCACCAUUUUUUCAUUUAAAUAUUAUCUUAAAUGAUGUCUUUAAGAUUUAUAUAUGAAAAUGUUAUGCCAAUGAAGCAAUAUUUAACCGUAAACAGAGGAUAGAGAUUUUAACAACUGUAUGUCAUCGUACAGCUUUCAAAAACAAGUAAAACCCUUAGAGUAUGCUUUAAAGGCACCAGGUGGUUCAUUUUCAAGCUAUCCG